CUUUGUUUACUUUGUUUAUGAUUCAUUGCGUAUAAACAUCUCAAAUAAAAUUGAGGUUCUCCCGUUUUUUUUUCAAUUGAUACCCAUAUAAUGUAGGAACAUUCAAGAUCCUGGAAAGUAAGUUUAAGUUUCUUUUUUUCUUUGUUAAACGAAUUUGAUAUAGAGCUGCAGAACAUAAAAUAUCAAAGAAGACUUCGAGUGCGUGUCCCUCAAUCCUCCGCAGCUUACUGUCAGUAACCUUAUCGCCAAAUAAAUUUUAUAAUUGCAAAAAUAACUGUUAUCAUGAUGGAGCCGAAUCCCCAGCAGUCUGAAAAGACACCAAUUCGCAUCAGGGAAUACAAUGUUCAACUAGCGGCAUACACAAAUUUUAUCUGCCGGUUAAAUUCCACUGCAGUUCUGGAUAGCCACGUUGUUGAAUUUCUGGAGAGCUUGAUGGGCCUAUUGGAAGAAAUUAACAGUUUUGAUAGUUUUCAAGAGCCAAGCGUUGAAGAAAUCAAAUUCAAUGGCCACAUUAGUAGCCUCAACUCGAUAAUGCGAUGCAACUUUUGUCCAUGGCAUACGGCUAAUGGCGAGGAAUUACUUUUGCACAUUAUUGAAGCAGGUCACUCCAGCACAAAAUUAAAACGUAUACGAUCAGAAGCCGUCGCCAGUUAUCGCGAAUAUAUUUGGCAAGUGCAGUCUAGGCUGCAUAAUAACGGAUUACCCAGAUCACUUUUGGGAGGCAUGAUAAGUUUUCAUUUCUUGUCUAAAUCAUUUCUGGAAACUACCUCCCAGUAUCUAAUAACACUUAGAAAACAUGGCCAGAAACCUACGCUCAUAAUUGCCAACGGGAUCAACAACCUAUUGAUGCAAAUCGAUUCUUUGGUCUCUUCAGCUAAGUGUAUGGAGUCGGUUCAGAGCCCUAAAACCUUAUUGAUGACCUUCGCCAUUUGGAAAAUUUGCUACACAAGUGGGGGAAAAAAUCAUAUGCAUGCCAUACAGUUGUUAAAUGAUUGUAAUGGUAAAACCAAUGGCAUUACACCCGUCCAAAACGUAUUUUCGUUGCCACCUUAUACGGCAAUGAAUCAAUAUCCCAAUGCUGCUUAUCCACCGAUGAACUUCAACAACCAGCCUAAUUUACCAAAUCGUCCAUUGUUGGGACCAGAAUCGCUGUACCAUCCGAUGAAUUUUCCCGGAGCGCCCCAACCAAUGCAUCCCAUGCAAGGAGCUCCACUCAUGGUCCGUCCUCCACCGAAAUUGCCACCUAUCGGGAUCCAUCCAAACACUGAUAUACAACAGAAUCAGUUGAGUACACAGUCAUUGUUGUAUGACCCUAAAAAGCCUCCUCCGAUUAUUCCAGCACAAGGUCUCCAGAGACCACUGCCAUUCCAUGGAGGUGCAGAUCCUACACCAUCGUUUCCACCUUUGGUGCCGGAUAACGAUUAUUCAAACAUCAUUGAAAGAUUAAAACAGUUUCUGCAGAACCCUAAACUAGAUUCUUUUAUCGAAAACGGAAACAUUCUCAGCGAUUUCGAGAAAACUAGUCUAAUUCUUUCGGAGAUAAGACAAGUACUGAUAGAAAUAUGCCCUAAUGUUAAAAUAAGUUGUUUUGGCUCUAAAGUUAGCGGUAUAGGAUAUGAUGAGGAUCCGCUGAAUCUAUAUAUAGACGACGGAGAAAAAAUUAAGACUAGUGCUGGCGUAGAGUUGCUGCUGCGUAAGCUAAAGGAUUUCUUCCUUGAGAAUCCCGCAGAAUGGUUAAUCGUAAACGUUGAUAAUAAUGAUAUACACACAUGUAUCUACGUGAAGAACCACAGCGAAAGUGUUUGCUGCCAAAUUUCAUUCACCAGCGAAAUUUACUGUUGGAACUCUCGGAUCAUCCGCUAUUACGUACGAACGUUCCCAAUAUUCCAGAAAAUGUGCUAUUUCAUGCAGGAGUUAGUCAAAUUGUUGAGCUUGCCUUUCAAUCAACGGGUGAUUAUUCUGCUGGUUGCGUUCUAUCUGCAGACCGAAAAAUGUCUUCCAACGGUUUCCCAACUGCAGGUCGGCUUACCCGAUGAGCAGUUAAGCGAAGGCUGGGUUGUUAAUUUCAACCCAAAGCAACGCUCCGAACUGAAAUUAAAAGACUGUGAACGGGAUCUACGCGCAAGCGCCAUCGGGUUCUUCAACUACUAUGGAAGCAUAUUUUCUUUCGUCGAAUCCGUUGUUUGUCCUCAUGUGGGAAUGCCCGUGAAGCGCGUGGACUUCCUUCCCGAGAACGAACGACGAUUGCCGCUUAAGCGCUAUAAACAAUUGCUUAACACCGCCGCGAAACCUUCCAGUGAUCAACCAAGCAUUCAGCGCAUUAACGUCUCCACGCCGAUGUGUGUCCAGGAUAUGCUGAAUCUUUCCGUCAACGUUACAGAGAAAAUCACUGCCGAAGACACAGUUCGAUUUACGGUGCUUUGCCGGGAACUUCAUUUGCAGUACACCAACAACAAAUGAGGGCUGCUUUUUUUCGCGAUACACUGUUUUUGUUGAAGCUAUUUUAAGAAAGUUAAAUGAUGUUUUAUUAUCAGGACCGAUUGCAGUCGAAAUCCAAUUUCCAUGACUGACAGGAUCAACUAGUUACUUUGUUUGAAAAGGCAGAUUGCAAUAAAAAAGGAAUGAUUAUUUUCGGAAGAUGAAUAGAAAUACAACCAACAUUUCAUGUAACUUUUGCUAUAUUUCUCUUCACUCGUUUGAACUCACGCAUCACUCAUCUCUAGAUCGGGUCAGAAACCUCGACACGUUGCAGUUUGGGUUUAUUUGCUGUACUUCAUGAAUAUAUUGCAUCUAUUGGAUAUCGUUGAAUGUGAAACAAUCCUACUAUAUCCUACUUGCUAUGUAAUUUGUUCGGUAUGGACUUUGUAGGUUCAUGCUUUUGAUUAUGAGAUUUUUCUUUCUGUUUGGUGAUCAACUUCUUUUUUUUUGCUAGAAUAUCAAUUCCGUUCGACGGCCAUGCGCACCCACCCACGUCCGCACACUAAAUAUCUAUUUACUUCUAGGAUCUGAUACACUAAACGCUUUUCCACGAGUUUUUUUUCUGUCUGAACGAACAUUUCGUGUUUUGUUUCCAUUUGUUUUGUUCUCACUUAACUAUUAUAAAUAUACACUUGAGUUUCUCUGCUUGUUGUAACUAGAUAAUACAUCUUAUUUGUUGUUCUGAAUUUUGUGAUUCUAAUAAAUACUUUUGUUAAUUCCC